rnacentral:tRNA from 1 species
GGUAAUGUGGCCGAGCAGGCGGUGGAUUGUAGCCCCAAGAACAGAGGUGUAAACCCUCUCAUUACCA